rnacentral:rRNA from 1 species
UACGUAGGGUGCAAGCGUUGUCCGGAAUUACUGGGCGUAAAGAGCUCGUAGGUGGUUUGUCGCGUUGUUCGUGAAAACUCACAGCUCAACUGUGGGCGUGCGGGCGAUACGGGCAGACUGGAGUACUGCAGGGGAGACUGGAAUUCCUGGUGUAGCGGUGGAAUGCGCAGAAUAUCAGGAGGGAACACCGGUGGGCGAAAGGCGGGGUCUCCUGGGC